rnacentral:misc_RNA from 1 species
GAUGAAGAACGCAGCGAAAUGCGAUAAGUAAUGUGAAUUGUAGAAUUCAGUGAAUCAUCGAAUCUUUGAACGCACCUUGCGCCCUUUGGCUAUUCUGAAGGGCAUGCCUGUUUGAGUAUCAUGAACACCUCAACUCUCAUGGUUCGCCAUGAUGAGCUUGGACUUUGGGGGUCUUGCUGGCCUACGGUCGGCUCCUCUCAAAUGAAUCAGCUUGCCAGUGUUUGGUAGAGUCGCAGGUGUGAUAACUAUCUACGCUUGUGGUUUUCUGCCAGAUAACCUUCAGUGAUGGAGGUUCGCUGGAGCUUAUAAAUGUCUCUCCCCAGUGAGGACAGCUUUUUGAACGUUUGAUCUCAAAUCAGGUAGGACUACCCGCUGAACUUAAGCAUAUCAAUAAGCGGAGGA